GCGCCCUGACCUCCACUUCCUGCGUCUACUCAGGGUGAAAAAACACCCCAUUCCCAGCACAGGUCAGGGUUGCCCGAGUUGAUCAUGCAGGUAGGGCUGUGGGGCUCUCAGGUGCCUGACACCCUGCAUGCAUCUUGGCCUCUUCCCUCAUCCUCAGCCUCAGAUGGACUGAGCCAUCUGGAACCUGUCAGUGGUGGCCUCAGCCCUAACUGCAGAUGACAGGCUCGGGAGUGUAGGGACAUGUGUCACCUGGAGCAAACUGCUCCCCCUCUGAAGCCUGUCACUCACAAGACCUGCUCCCAAGGGCCAAUGGCAGGUCUGAACUGACGCGCCAUCACUUACUGUCUUUAUUUCUUCCAGUUCACCUGAAUACAUAUGUUUUGCCCCGAAAAUAUAAAUGGGUCUGAUUAUGAGGAGCAGCCCCAGGUUCCAAAGAGGUGCCACAUAAUGUAUGAUGUAUACAAAAAAGCCUGAGUUCCAAACACAUCUUGGAUGAGAGGUUGGGACUGUGGGGGAUCCCCACACUGGUUAGAGUUCUAGACCCAGAGCAGGGUUAUGGUCAACGGCGCUCUGGCCACAGAAUGCAGCAGAGCAAGGACUGUGGAACAAAGACGCAGCUUACAUGAAUUUUUCACUUACCGUGCUGGGUGCUGGUGAUUCAGAGAUGGAAAGGCCCUAGCGACACCCCCCUCCACCCAGGGAG
rnacentral:lncRNA from 1 species